ACGGUGAUAUCUGACUGAGCGCUACCCUAACAAAUCAUGGAGUCUCUCUUGGUUUUCGGGUUGCUGUUAUCUGCCCUGACUUGCGUCCACUCGCAAGUGCAGCUGGUCCAGUCGGGCCCGGGAACGGUGAAGGUCGGAGAGACCCUCACCCUGAGCUGCGCUGUCUCGGGUGUAUCCAUCACUGACAACAGCUACGUGUGGAGCUGGAUCCGGCAGGCUCCCGGGAAAGGACUGGAGUGGAUGGGGUAUGUGUACCCGUAUAGUAGCGGGAGCACAAGCUACGCCCCGUCUCUCCAAGGCCGAAUCACCAUCUCUGGAGACACCGCCAAGAACCAGGUCUCCCUGCAGCUCCGCUCGCUGACAGCCACAGACACCGGCACCUAUUACUGCGCCAGAGAACCCCGCCUCACCCUGACGGCUUUGACUACUGGGGUCAAGGAACCAUGGUCACUGUAACAGCAG